rnacentral:rRNA from 1 species
GAUGGACGCUGACAGAAUGCUUAACACAUGCGAGUCAACUUGAAUUUGGGUUUUUAACUUAGGUUUGGGUGGCGGACGGGUGAGUAACGCGUAAAGAACUUGCCUCACAGCUAGGGACAACAUUUGGAAACGAAUGCUAAUACCUAAUAUUAUGAUAAUAGGGCAUCCUAUAAUUAUGAAAGCUAUAAGCGCUGUGAGAGAGCUUUGCGUCCCAUUAGCUAGUUGGAGAGGUAACGGCUCACCAAGGCGAUGAUGGGUAGCCGGCCUGAGAGGGUGAUCGGCCACAAGGGGACUGAGACACGGCCCUUACUCCUACGGGAGGCAGCAGUGGGGAAUAUUGGACAAUGGACCAAGAGUCUGAUCCAGCAAUUCUGUGUGCACGAUGAAGUUUUUCGGAAUGUAAAGUGCUUUCAGUUGGGAAGAAAGAAAUGACGGUACCAACAGAAGAAGUGACGGCUAAAUACGUG